rnacentral:misc_RNA from 1 species
CGAAAUGCGAUAAGUAAUGUGAAUUGCAGAAUUCAGUGAAUCAUCGAAUCUUUGAACGCACAUUGCGCCCGCCAGUAUUCUGGCGGGCAUGCCUGUUCGAGCGUCAUUUCAACCAUCAAGCCCCCGGCUUGUGUUGGGGACCUGCGGCUGCCCGCAGGCCCUGAAAAACAGUGGCGGGCUCGCUGUCACACCGAGCGUAGUAGCAUACAUUCUCGCUCAGGGCGUGCUGCGGGUUCCGGCCGUUAAACGACCUUCAUAACCCAAGGUUGACCUCGGAUCAGGUAGGAAGACCCGCUGAACUUAAGCA